rnacentral:rRNA from 1 species
UGGGGAAUCUUGCGCAAUGCGCGAAAGCGUGACGCAGCAACACCGCGUGAGGGAAGACGGCCUUAGGGUUGUAAACCUCUUUCAGAUGGGACGAAGGUUGUCCGGUGAAUAGCCGAGAUGAUUGACGGUACCGUCAGAAGAAGCUCCGGCUAACUACGUGCCAGCAGCCGCGGUAAUACGUAGGGAGCGAGCGUUGUCCGGAAUCAUUGGGCGUAAAGAGCAUGUAGGUGGAUCAAUAAGUCUGCUGUGAAAGUCGAAGGCUCAACCUUCGAAAGCCGGUGGAUACUGUUGAUCUAGAGUACGGAAGAGGCGAGUGGAAUUCCUGGUGUAGCGGUGGAAUGCGCAGAUAUCAGGAGGAACACCAAUAGCGAAGGCAGCUCGCUGGGACGUAACUGACACUGAGAUGCGAAAGCGUGGGGAGCAAACAGG